GCGCCCGUAGCUCAGCUGGAUAGAGCGCCCGGCUUCGGACCGGGAGGUCGUGGGUUCGAAUCCUACCGGGCGUG
rnacentral:tRNA from 1 species